rnacentral:tRNA from 1 species
UGGGGUUGUGGCUCAGCAGUAGAGUGCUCACCUAGCACGUGCGAGGUGCUGGGUUUGAUCCUCAGCACCACAA